GAGACUGACAAGUCGAGCAGGGACGAAAGUCGGGCUUAGUGAUCCGGUGGUUCCGCAUGGAAGGGCCAUCGCUCAACGGAUAAAAGCUACCCCGGGGAUAACAGGCUUAUCUCCCCCAAGAGUCCACAUCGACGGGGAGGUUUGGCACCUCGAUGUCGGCUCGUCGCAUCCUGGGGCUGAAGUAGGUCCCAAGGGUAUGGCUGUUCGCCAUUUAAAGUGGUACGCGAGCUGGGUUUAGAACGUCGUGAGACAGUUCGGUCCCUAUCUGCCGUGGGCGCUGGAGAAUUGAGGGGGGCUGCUCCUAGUACGAGAGGACCGGAG
rnacentral:rRNA from 1 species